UACGAAGGGGGCUAGCGUUGUUCGGAAUUACUGGGCGUAAAGCGUGCGCAGGCGGCUUCUCAAGUCAGGGGUGAAAGCCCAGAGCUCAACUCUGGAAUUGCCUUUGAGACUGAGUGGCUUGAGUACGAGAGAGGUGAGUGGAAUUCCCAGUGUAGAGGUGAAAUUCGUAGAUAUUGGGAAGAACACCGGUGGCGAAGGCGGCUUACUGGUCCGGAACUGACGCUGAGGUGCGAAAGCGUGGGGAGCAAACAGG
rnacentral:rRNA from 1 species